rnacentral:pre_miRNA from 1 species
UUUCAGUGUAACCAUAAGUUACCACGCUCAAUCGUUUUAUUUGAAUUUUUUUAUAAUUAGUAAUUUUAUUAUUAUUAUAUGAUAAAAUAUGAAUAUUACUUUAUACAUAACUUAUGUUUUAAGUUUUUUUUGAAAUUUUUUCAAAUAAGUCGAACGAUCAAAGUUAUGCACGAAAAAUUAUGGCUGCAUUUAAA